rnacentral:tRNA from 1 species
CCUUCGAUAGCUCAGUUGGUAGAGCGGUGGACUGUAGAAUUAAGUACUUGCGUAGACAUCCAUAGGUCGCUGGUUCAAAUCCGGCUCGAAGGA